UACAGAGGUGGCAAGCGUUGUUCGGAAUUACUGGGCGUAAAGGGCGCGUAGGCGGCCUUGUAAGUCUCGUGUGAAAGCCCUCGGCUUAACUGAGGAUCUGCACGGGAUACUGCGAGGCUUGAGUUCGGGAGAGGAAAGCGGAAUUCCGGGUGUAGCGGUGAAAUGCGUAGAUAUCUGGAGGAACACCGGUGGCGAAGGCGGCAUCCUGGACCGGCAUUGACGCUGAGGAGCGAAAGCCAGGGGAGCAAACGGG
rnacentral:rRNA from 1 species